CCUACGGGAGGCAGCAGUGGGGAAUAUUGGGCAAUGGGCGCAAGCCUGACCCAGCAACGCCGCGUGAAGGAAGAAGGCUUUCGGGUUGUAAACUUCUUUUGUCAGGGACGAAGAUUGUGACGGGACCUGACGACUAAGCCACGGCUAACUCCGUGCCAGCAGCCGCGGUACUACGUAGGUGGCAAGCGGUAUACGGAUUUACUGGGUGUAAAGGGCGUGUAGGCGGGACUGCAAGUCAGAUGUGAAAACCCCGGGCUCAACCUGUGGCCUGCAUGUGAAACUGUAGGGCUGGAGUACUGGAGAGGCAGGCGGAAUUCCUAGUGUAGCGGUGAAAUGCGUAGAUAUUAGGAGGAACACCAGUGGCGAAGGCGGCCUGCUGGAC
rnacentral:rRNA from 1 species